GAUGAACGCUGGCGGCGUGCCUAAUACAUGCAAGUCGAGCGGACAGACCAGGAGCUUGGUCCGCUGAUGUUAGCGGAGGACGGGGGUGUCACACGUGGAGAACCUACCUAUAAGACGGGUAUAACUGCGGGAAACCGGCGCUAAUACCGGAUGACAUCUUGCACCUCAGGGUGCAAGCGUCACAGACGCUUUUGCUGACAGUGAUCGAUGGAUCCGCGCCGCAUUAGCUAGUUGGUAAGGUAACGGCUUACCAAGGCAGCGAUGCGUAGCCGACCUGAGAGGGUGAUCGGCCACACGGGAACUGAGACACGGUCCAGACUCCUACGGGAGGCAGCAGUAGGGAAUCUUCCGCAAUGGGCGAGAGCCUGACGGAGCAACGCCGCGUGAGUGAAGAAGGUCUUCGGAUCGUAAAACUCUGUUAUUAGGGAAGAACAAAUGUGUAAGUAACUAUGCACGUCUUGACGGUACCUGAUCAGAAAGCCACGGCUAACUACGUG
rnacentral:rRNA from 1 species